CCCUUAGAUGUUCUGGGCCGCACGCGCGCUACAAUGACUGGAUCAGCAAGUUUCUCCCCCGAUAGGGGAAGACAACCAUGAAUACCAGUCGUGAUGGGGCUAGACCCUUGUAAUUUUUGGUCUCCAACGAGGAAUUCCUAGUAAACGCAAGUCAACAACUUGCAUUGAUUACGUCCCUGCCCUUUGUACACACCGCCCGUCGCACCUACCGAUUGAAUGGCCCGGUGAAUUUUUUGGACAGUCCUCACGGACCGAAAAUUAAAUGAACCUUGCUAUUUAGAGGAAGGUGAAGUCGUANCA
rnacentral:rRNA from 1 species